rnacentral:rRNA from 1 species
UACGGAGGGUGCGAGCGUUGUCCGGAAUCACUGGGCGUAAAGGGCGCGUAGGUGGCCUGUGGAAGUCUGCGGUGAAAGCCCGGCGCUCAACGCCGGGUCGGCCGUGGAUACUCUCGGGCUCGAGCUUACUAGAGGCAGAUGGAAUUCCGGGUGUAGCGGAUGGAAUGCGUAGAGAUCCGGAAGAACACCGGUGGCGAAGGCGGCGCACUGGACCACAACUGACGCUGAGGCGCGAAAGGCUAGGGGAGCAAACAGG